CAGUAGCCGCGGUAAUACGGAGGGGGCUAGCGUUGUUCGGAAUUACUGGGCGUAAAGCGCACGUAGGCGGCUUGGUAAGUUAGAGGUGAAAGCCCGGAGCUCAACUCCGGAAUUGCCUUUAAGACUGCCGAGCUAGCAGGUGAGAGAGGUAAGUGGAAUUCCGAGUGUAGAGGUGAAAUUCGUAGAUAUUCGGAAGAACACCAGUGGCGAAGGCGGCUUACUGGCUCAUACUGGACGCUGAGGUGCGAAAGCGUGGGGAGCAAACAGGAUUAGAUACCCGUGUAGUCCCUGUCUCUUAUAA
rnacentral:rRNA from 1 species